GAAUGCUGACAUAAGUAACGAUAAAGCGGGUGAAAAGCCCGCUCGCCGGAAGACCAAGGGUUCCUGUCCAACGUUAAUCGGGGCAGGGUGAGUCGACCCCUAAGGCGAGGCCGAAAGGCGUAGUCGAUGGGAAACGGGUUAAUAUUCCCGUACUUGGUGUUACUGCGAAGGGGGGACGGAGAAGGCUAUGUUGGCCGGGCGACGGUUGUCCCGGUUUAAGCGUGUAGGUGUGUGUUCCAGGUAAAUCCGGUUCACUUUAACACUGAGGCGUGACGACGAGGCACUACGGUGCUGAAGCAACAAAUGCCCUGCUUCCAGGAAAAGCCUCUAAGCAUCAGGUAACACGAAAUCGUACCCCAAACCGACACAGGUGGUCAGGUAGAGAAUACCAAGGCGCUUGAGAGAACUCGGGU
rnacentral:rRNA from 1 species